rnacentral:rRNA from 1 species
UACGUAGGGUGCGAGCGUUGUCCGGAAUUAUUGGGCGUAAAGGGCUCGUAGGCGGUUUGUCGCGUCGGGAGUGAAAACAUCCAGCUUAACUGGGUGCUUGCUUUCGAUACGGGCAGACUUGAGGUAUGCAGGGGAGAAUGGAAUUCCUGGUGUAGCGGUGAAAUGCGCAGAUAUCAGGAGGAACACCGGUGGCGAAGGCGGAUCUCUGGGCCAUUACUGACGCUGAGGAGCGAAAGCGUGGGGAGCGAACAGG